GUCCACGCCCUAAACGAUGAUUACUCGAUGUUGGCGAUACACAGUCAGCGUCUAAGCGAAAGCAUUAAGUAAUCCACCUGGGGAGUACGACCGCAAGGUUGAAACUCAAAGGAAUUGACGGGGGCCCGCACAAGCGGAGGAGCAUGUGGUUUAAUUCGAUGAUACGCGAGGAACCUUACCUGGGCUUGAAAGUUAGUGAAUUCCUCAGAAAAGAGGGAGGCCGAAAGGCACGAAACUAGGUGCUGCAUGGCUGUCGU
rnacentral:rRNA from 1 species